rnacentral:rRNA from 1 species
UACGUAGGGUGCAAGCGUUAAUCGGAAUUACUGGGCGUAAAGUGUGCGCAGGCGGCGUCGCAAGUCGAGUGUGAAAGCCCCGAGCUUAACUUGGGAAUUGCGCUCGAAACUACGGUGCUGGAGUAUGGCAGAGGAAGGUGGAAUUCCACGUGUAGCGGUGAAAUGCGUAGAGAUGCGGAGGAACACCGAUGGCGAAGGCAGCCCCCCUGGGCUAACACUGACGCUCGAGGCACGAAAGCGUGGGGAGCAAACAGG